CGCGGGAUUGGACGGGGCGCAGCAGGCGCGAAACCUUUACAAUGCACGCAAGUGCGAUAAGGGGAUUCUAAGUGCUCAUGUUACGCAUGGGCUUUUGCCAAGAGUAAAUAUCUUGGCGAAUAAGUGGUGGGCAAGACUGGUGCCAGCAGCCGCGGUAACACCAGCGCCACGAGUGGCAACCAGAAUUAUUGGGCCUAAAGCGUUCGUAGCCGGUUAUACAAAUCUUUUGUGAAAUUGUAGAGCUCAACUUUGCAGAUGGCAGAAGACACUAUAUAACUAGGGACCGGAAGGAGUUAGGAGUAUUAAUAGGGGAGCGGUAAAAUGUUGUAAUCCUAUUAAGACUACCUGUGGCGAAGGCGCCUAACCAGUACGGAUCCGACGGUGAGGAACGAAAGCCAGGGGAGCGAUCCGGAUUAGAUACCCGAGUAGUCCUGGCCGUAAACUCUGCGAGCAAGGUGUUGCAUAUUUUACGAGAAUAUGCAGUGUCGAAACGAAGGUGUUAAGCUCGCCGCCUGGGGAGUACGGUCGCAAGACUGAAACUUAAAGGAAUUGGCGGGGGAGCACUACAAGGGGUGCGGCGUGCGGUUUAAUCGAACUUUACACCGAGAAUCUCACCAAGAGCGACGGCAGGAUGAAAGUCAGGCUAAAGACCUUACUUGACAAGCCGAGAGGUGGUGCAUGGCCGCCGCCAGCUCGUGCCGUAAGGUGUCCAGUUAAGUCUGGUAACGAGCAAGACCUGUGCCUACAAUUGCCAGCGAGCAUUUUUGUGAUCGGGCACAAUGUAGGAACUGCUUUGGAAACAAAGAGGAAGGUGCAGGCAACGGUAGGUCUGUAUGCCCCGAAUCCCUUGGGCUACACGCGCGCAACAAUGGUAAGGACAACGGGAUGCCACUCCGAAAGGAGAAGCUAAGCCUCUAAACCUUAUCUAAGUCCAGAUUGAGGGUUGUAACUCACCCUCAUGACGAUGGAAUCCCUAGUAAUCAGAAGUCAUCAGCUUCCGGUGAAUAUGUCCCUGCUCCUUGCACGAAGUCGCCGAAUCACUAGU
rnacentral:rRNA from 1 species